rnacentral:rRNA from 1 species
GCCAGCCGCCGCGGGAACACCGGCGGCCCGAGUGGUGAUCGUGAUUAUUGGGUCUAAAGGGUCCGUAGCCGGUUUGGUCAGUCCUCCGGGAAAUCUGAUAGCUCAACUAUUAGGCUUUCGGGGGAUACUGCCAGACUUGGAACCGGGAGAGGUAAGAGGUACUACAGGGGUAGGAGUGAAAUCUUGUAAUCCCUGUGGGACCACCUGUGGCGAAGGCGUCUUACCAGAACGGGUUCGACGGUGAGGGACGAAAGCUGGGGGCACGAACCGGAUUAGAUACCCGGGUAGUCCCAGCCGUAAACGAUGCUCGCUAGGUGUCAGGCAUGGCGCGACCGUGUCUGGUGCCGCAGGGAAGCCGUGAAGCGAGCCACCUGGGAAGUACGGCCGCAAGGCUGAAACUUAAAGGAAUUGGCGGGGGAGCACAACAACGGGUGGAGCCCUGCGGUUUAAUUGGACUCAACGCCGGACAACUCACCGGGGGCGACAGCAAUAUGUAGGCCAGGCUGAAGACUUUGCCUGAAUCGCUGAGAAGAGGUGCAUGG